rnacentral:misc_RNA from 1 species
AAGUGUCCAGGUCAUGGUAAAACGUCCUUGGCACGAAAAAUCGAGGUUCCCCUUGGAUCCGCUGAAAAUUCCAGAGGAUGAAAAGGAGGAAAAGGUAGAGGAGAGAGAAAGGAUUUAGUUGCUGGAGACGCGUUACAGGAUGCUAACACCUGUUAUUGUCACGCCUAGGGGGAAUAUUAUGUAGGUAACUAGUGAUCUGGUACAACUCGACAGCUGUGAUCGAUGGCACUGUGACUCCAGAUAGCCAGCUAUUUCUUUCACUGACGGAAAUUACAAUACGCGCGUGUAUGUGUGGCCGUAAUGAAUUUAUAACAAAUUGCC